rnacentral:lncRNA from 1 species
UAUAAUAUGACAUAUAUGUCACACACACACACACACACACACACACACACACAAAGAUAUUCUUGUCAAAGGGAUUCUGUUUAAAAAGAAGUUUGAAAACCAAAACCUUGAGCUUUUAAUACAAUGUCUUCUCUCUUCCAGGGGCAUUUGGUUUUGAAGUCGUUACUAAUUACCACUUGGAGGAUAGAAAGCUUUGUCCCAGUUGAAAGCAUUUUAGGCUUUUACUGAGCUGAUGAAGGCAUUACUUUUUGGAUAGUGACUUAUUUCUGGGGUAUCUACUGUCCACCUCCACCCCCUACAUCAGCAGUCCUGGCUGGUGUUAAGGAAUGAAGAAGGAAUUGGAUGGUCGGAAGCCAGCAAGCUGUUAAUGUCAUUUGUCUUAAAGGGUUUUUGUUAUCCUUGCUGUUUUGUUAGCAUCCAGCCAGCUAGGAGGCCAGUGUUGACUGGGUUGAUGGAGGAGGGUUGGGAGUGUUCGCAGACACAGGUGAAGUACUCGCUUCUCUUGCUGGCCUGCUGGGUGGCGGCUGGUUUUGUUAGCUCUCGAUCCCCUUUCCUCUGAGCCACUUCUACUCCGCAGCUCCGUGGGUGGCAUCUCCAUCCUUCUGCUUCCCAGAGGCCAAGUCUUCCUCCCAAAAGUGUCUCCCUGGGUCUCCCCUCCCCAUUGCAGGCGCCAAGCUCUGGCCUUUCAUUCUGUGUCAAACUCCUGCAGGCCUUUAUGCAAUGGUCAGAUGGUGGCCAGAGCGCUGAAUUGGAAGUCCAAGAACCUGGUCUUGAGUCUUGAAUUACUCAGCAGCCAUGAACCUUGGGUUAGUUACACGUUCUCCAGAGUCUCAGCUUCUUAGUCGGCAAACGGGAAUAACCACCCCAGCCUUCCCACGACCAGCCUUUAUCACUAUCUGCGUGAACAUCUUCAAGUCCCUCACUGGAGCAGAGUUUCUCAAAUCGCGGUUCCAGGGCCACGUUUCCUUAAGCAAGAUACCCAGGAUGGGAUCCAGGAAUCUGCAUUUUCAGAAGCUCCCUGAGUUUCUUUUGAACACUUCGAGUUCUUUUGAAGUUUGAGAGCCAGUCGGCUGGGUCCCUGGACUGUGGGUUCAGAAUGUAUGGGGGAAGACCUGUUGCAAUCUCUCAUAGACCACCCAGUUGCUCCUCCAGACCCUGCCCUGCAGAUGGGAAUCCAACUCCUGGAGUAUAACAGUGGUCUUGGGGAGCAUCUCUAAUGUUCUAGAGAAAUCCUAGGUAUUUUCCAAGUUACCUUAGGAGUGUGUGGGAGUGUGGCUGUC